rnacentral:misc_RNA from 1 species
AGGUGAACCUGCGGAAGGAUCAUUAGAAAAGUAUGCGCCCACACGGGCAACCUGCGGGCAAGUUGGUAAAACGAGAGGAGGUGUUCGUUUUUUUUUUUACCCCCAAUGCACUUAUUGAAAAGACCCAAGUCGAAAAAAGAAAAUGGUGAUGGAAUAUUGGUCAAGGCCUUUGUUCAGCAUGCCGAUAUGUGGGUGUUGCAGGAUAAAAACUUCUGCUUACCUGGAAUCAAAUUUUUGGUGGAUAAUCUUUUGGUUGUUCCCUUAAUUAUGGGCUGUGCAAAAAGAGCUUUUUUUUUUUGCUGGCCUUAAAUUUAAAAUUCUUUUUCGACGCCGUAAUAACCUUUGCCUAAAUGUUUGUCUGAUCUUUUACUUAUAACGAGUAAAAAAAUUAAUACAACUUUCAACAACGGAUCUCUUGGCUCUCG